CAUUUCGUAGAGCUGAAAGAUGACUAAUGCAUCUGCAAGGUCACUAAGACAAGAGGAAAAGAAAAUGAAGGAAGAGGAAAUGUUGGUGCCUGUAUGAAAGCGAGAGUUGGUCCAUAAAGAAAGCUGAAUACUGAAGACUCGAUGCUUUUGAACUGUGGUGUUAGAGAAGACUCUUGUGAGUCCCUUGUACUGUAAGGACUUGCUACCAGUCAAUCCUAAAGGAAUUCAGUCCUGAAAAUUCAUUGGAAGGACUGAUGCUAAAGCUUCAAUACUUUGACCACCGGAUGUGAAGAACUGACUCAUUGGAAAAGACCCUGAUGCUGGGAAAGAUUGAAGGUGGGAGGAGAAGGGGACGACAGAAGAUGAGAUGGAUGGCAUCACUGACUGGAUGGACAUGAGUUUGAGCAAGCUUUGGGAGUUGGUGAUGGACAGGGAAGCCUGGCGUGCUACAGUCCAUAGGGUCGCAAAGAGUCAGACAUGACUGAGUGAGUGAACUGAAAUAGGUGCAAAUUAAAUAUUUCAGCUUUCCUGGAACUGACAUAAAUGUAACCGUACUAUGAUUAGCAGCUUGAUGCAUGUGACUUGAAUUUAUCUUUUAGUUAUUUCUCUAUUACAUUCUGUUAUUUUGCUAUAUGUAUAAAUCUUUUCUAGUAAUUAGAGAAUUUUUACGUUAUUUUCAUCUAGCAAAAUCCAAAUUAUGUUUUAAGGUUUCAAACAUCAAUAGUGUAACAACAGUUUAAUUUUUACUAAAACAAUAUCCAGUUUCUGCUGGACCUGAUGAUAGAAGACACUAAAUUUGCAUUUUCAUUGAGUUCUAUAACUAUUAUAGACUUAAGGUGUUUGCUGUUUCUUCCUAUUGCUCUAAACUAGUUAUAUCAUUAUUUUAAUUUUUGAUACCUGGAAAGUAAAAGAGAUUUUAAAAGUGAGCAUCUACUUAUCUACUACCAUUCCAAGUUGUCUUGGUAAAUAAAUGCUCAAGGCCAGAAGCACUAUGCAUUUGCGUAGGAGUCAUGGUAAAGCAUUGCAAAAACAUAUGUAUUCCAGACUGGAAAUGCUGUCUGGAUUUCAGACAACUAAAGCAAUCUUGGAAGUAAAAUCUUAAAGGCAGAUAUAAAAGAGAGAAAGAAUUGUAAGACACUCUCUUCAUUUUUAGGACUAAACUGACAUUGCAAUUGAUAAAAGUUUAGAGAAAAUAACAAAAGCAGGCUACUUAGAGGAAAGGAAAGGAACACUAACUACAUGUGCUAAAGUGGUGUAUUGUUUUCCUCUUCCCGACCAUUAUUGAGCACACAAAAUUUGUUCACUAACGAAAGGUCACUUUAACUUGCUCUGGAAUUCUUCAAAAUAAGUAUUAUUAUUAAGUCUGGUUUUAUAUAUGAGAAAACCAAGGUUCAUAAAGGUACUCAGUUAUUAAAUUGGGGGUAUCGUGAUUUAGACAAAGUCUAAUUCCAUGGUCUAUGUAUUUUCUAUUACCACAAAUGAAUUUUGAGAUUGUCUGUAUCUGUAGCCCCCAUAUUUGGCUCAAUUUAAUAUGAAGAUUUAUUAUUUAAUUGGGCCUUUAAUUUUCUUUAAUUCCAUACAGAUAAAAUUCUUUGCCACUGAGGACAUACUAAUACAUGAAUAUGAAGGUGAUAAGGUCAAGCUUCAAAUUUCAUAAGGAUCUACAAAAACUAAUGUACAGAGGAAAAAGUUCCAAUGACAGUCAAAGUCAAAUUCAUUUUUGGCAGAUGUAUCAGGACAUACAUAUGUUCUAAAUAAAGAUGACUGAUAAAUA